AUUGAACGCUGGCGGCAGGCUUAACACAUGCAAGUCGAGCGGAGAUGAGGUGCUUGCACCUUAUCUUAGCGGCGGACGGGUGAGUAAUGCUUAGGAAUCUGCCUAUUAGUGGGGGACAACAUUCCGAAAGGAAUGCUAAUACCGCAUACGUCAUACGGGAGAAAGCAGGGGAUCUUCGGACCUUGCGCUAAUAGAUGAGCCUAAGUCGGAUUAGCUAGUUGGUGGGGUAAAGGCCUACCAAGGCGACGAUCUGUAGCGGGUCUGAGAGGAUGAUCCGCCACACUGGGACUGAGACACGGCCCAGACUCCUACGGGAGGCAGCAGUGGGGAAUAUUGGACAAUGGGGGGAACCCUGAUCCAGCCAUGCCGCGUGUGUGAAGAAGGCCUUAUGGCUGUAAAGCACUUUAAGCGAGGAGGAGGCUACUGAGACUAAUACUCUUGGAUAGUGGACGUUACUCGCAGAAUAAGCACCGGCUAACUCUGUGCCAGCCGCCGCAGUAAUAC
rnacentral:rRNA from 1 species